UACGUAGGGUGCAAGCGUUGUCCGGAAUUAUUGGGCGUAAAGAGCUCGUAGGCGGUUUGUCGCGUCUGCUGUGAAAACUGGAGGCUCAACCUCCAGCCUGCAGUGGGUACGGGCAGACUAGAGUGCGGUAGGGGAGAUUGGAAUUCCUGGUGUAGCGGUGAAAUGCGCAGAUAUCAGGAGGAACACCGGUGGCGAAGGCGGGUCUCUGGGCCGAAACUGACGCUGAGGAGCGAAAGCGUGGGGAGCAAACAGG
rnacentral:rRNA from 1 species